rnacentral:ncRNA from 1 species
UUAGCUAUUUUAGAUAGGUUUGUAUUCAUAGCAUUGUGGAUACAAACAACCAAAGCGUUUGUAUCUAUGAUGGCUAGAGCGAUUAUUGUUGUAAAAAAGCCACAUGGAUAGACAAUCUAGAGUGGCUAAAUAUAUUUGCAUUUUUCAACGUUCACUUAAGAUUGUUUAUCAAUGACUUAA